rnacentral:lncRNA from 1 species
AGAAACUCGAUAGUACUCGCUCGCGUGGGUUUGGAAAAGGCUGCCAGGAGUCAUGUCGCAUUUAAUUGCGGACGAGGUGACGUGGCAGAAAUCCCCCCCUCCAUUUGAAUUUCAAACCGACGGUUACGGGAUUCUCGGAAUAUGCGUCAUUAAAUGCUGGCAGCCCAAGAGUUUGCUUCUCAGUAAGGAAACCCAAAAUCUUCAAACACGAACUCGUCAUUUUCUCC